rnacentral:rRNA from 1 species
UACGUAGGGGGCAAGCGUUGUUCGGAAUUACUGGGCGUAAAGGGCGCGUAGGCGGCACAGCAAGUCGGGAGUGAAAGCCCGGGGCUCAACCCCGGAAUGGCUUUCGAAACUGCUGAGCUAGAGUACAGAAGGGGCAACCGGAAUUCCCAGUGUAGCGGUGAAAUGCGUAGAUAUUGGGAAGAACACCUGAGGCGAAGGUGGGUUGCUGGGCUGAUACUGACGCUGAGGCGCGAAAGCCAGGGGAGCAAACGGG